CUGGAGGUAUCAGAAGUGCGAAUGCUGACAUAAGUAACGAUAAAGCGGGUGAAAAGCCCGCUCGCCGGAAGACCAAGGGUUCCUGUCCAACGUUAAUCGGGGCAGGGUGAGUCGACCCCUAAGGCGAGGCCGAAAGGCGUAGUCGAUGGGAAACGGGUUAAUAUUCCCGUACUUGGUGUUACUGCGAAGGGGGGACGGAGAAGGCUAUGUUGGCCGGGCGACGGUUGUCCCGGUUUAAGCGUGUAGGUGUGUGUUCCAGGUAAAUCCGGUUCACUUUAACACUGAGGCGUGAUGACGAGGCACUACGGUGCUGAAGCAACAAAUGCCCUGCUUCCAGGAAAAGCCUCUAAGCAUCAGG
rnacentral:rRNA from 1 species